rnacentral:rRNA from 1 species
UACAGAGGGUGCAAGCGUUAAUCGGAAUUACUGGGCGUAAAGCGUGCGUAGGUGGUUUGUUAAGUCAGGCGUGAAAUCCUGGGGCUCAACCUCAGAAUUGCGCUUGAUACUGACAGACUCGAGUGUGGUAGAGGAUAGUGGAAUUCCCGGUGUAGCGGUGAAAUGCGUAGAUAUCGGGAGGAACAUCAGUGGCGAAGGCGGCUAUCUGGACCAACACUGACACUGAGGUACGAAAGCGUGGGUAGCAAACAGG